GACGAACGCUGGCGGCGUGCUUAACACAUGCAAGUCGAACGGAAAGGCCCUGCUUUUGUGGGGUGCUCGAGUAGCGAACGGGUGAGUAGCACGUGAGUAACCUGCCCUUGACUUUGGGAUAACUUCAGGAAACUGGGGCUGAUACCGGAUAGGAGCUCCUGCUGCAUGGUGGGGGUUGGAAAGUUUCGGCGGUUGGGGAUGGACUCGCGGCUUAUCAGCUUGUUGGUGGGGUAGUGGCUUACCAAGGCUUUGACGGGUAGCCGGCCUGAGAGGGUGACCGGCCACAUGGGGACUGAGAUACGGCCCAGACGCCUACGGGAGGCAGCAGGGGUGAAUAUUGCACAAUGGGCGGAAGCCUGAUGCAGCGACGCCGCGUGCGGGAUGACGGCCUUCGGGUUGUAAACCGCUUUCGCCUGUGACGAAGCGUGAGUGACGGUAAUGGGUAAAGAAGCACCGGCUAACUACGUG
rnacentral:rRNA from 1 species